GGCUGGGGGCGGCUCCUGCGAAUUUGAAUGAGCACUUUCGGCGCCAUUUUCGAGUGAGCCGCGAUAACAUCAACACUGCCUGAGCUCCGAGCUCCGCCGCGGAUAAUGGCGCAAAAAAAAGGAAACUAAUCCAGCCCCGAUUUUGAGCGGGAGUAACGGAUCUGCAUUCAGUCAGUGACAGCCGAGGCGCACACACUGCUCUCAGCCACUGACCUACAUCGACCUGAUGAAUCAAAAGGAAUGUUUUAUUAGAAACUGCAGUUUACCCCAAAUCCCACUAUGGAUGAAGGGGAAAUUGUGGGUCCUAAGGCAGUGAAGAACCUCUGCACCAAACUAAUGGCUUAUCAGGAGCUCUGGUUUCCUCCCGCAGUCCAAAGACAUGCAAGUGAGGUGAAUUGCCUGUGACGAUGUUUGACGAUGAACUUGAACUGAUGACUCAUGUGCAGACUGAACUACCUGUCCUUUCAUGAAUGUAACCAAAGUGUACAACAUGACGUUAAAAUCCUAAUAAA